rnacentral:rRNA from 1 species
UACAGAGGGGGCAAGCGUUGUUCGGAAUUACUGGGCGUAAAGGGCGCGUAGGCGGCCUUCUAAGUCGAACGUGAAAUCCCCGGGCUCAACCCGGGAACUGCGUCCGAUACUGGAAGGCUUGAAUCCGGGAGAGGGAUGCGGAAUUCCAGGUGUAGCGGUGAAAUGCGUAGAUAUCUGGAGGAACACCGGUGGCGAAGGCGGCAUCCUGGACCGGCAUUGACGCUGAACAGCGAAAGCCAGGGGAGCAAACGGGG